ACGGAAGGCAGCAGUGGGGAAUAUUGCACAAUGGGGGAAACCCUGAUGCAGCGACGCCGCGUGAGUGAAGAAGUAUUUCGGUAUGUAAAGCUCUAUCAGCAGGGAAGAAAAUGACGGUACCUGACUAAGAAGCCCCGGCUAACUACGUGCCAGCAGCCGCGGUAAUACGUAGGGGGCAAGCGUUAUCCGGAUUUACUGGGUGUAAAGGGAGCGUAGGCGGCCAGACAAGUCAGAUGUGAAAACCCGGGGCUCAACUCCGGGACUGCAUUUGAAACUGCCAGGCUUGAGUGCAGGAGAGGCAAGUGGAAUUCCUAGUGUAGCGGUGAAAUGCGUAGAUAUUAGGAAGAACACCAGUGGCGAAGGCGACUUGCUGGACUGAGACUGACGCUGAGGCUCGAAAGCGUGGGGAGCAAACAGGAUUAGAUACCCUGGUA
rnacentral:rRNA from 1 species